AUCCCAUACCGGUGAGAAUGCCCUUAACAUCAACAUAGAUCAAGAGGAGCAGGCAUUAAGCACACUAAUAAGUAGCUCAAGAUGCCUUGCUUAACCACACCCCCAAGGGAAACAGCAGUGAUAGAAAUUUAGCAAUGAACGUAAGUUUGACUAAGUUAUGCUACUCUAGGGUUGGUAAAUUUCGUGCCAGCCACCGCGGUCAUACGAUUAACCCAAACUAAUAAAUACCCGGCGUAAAGCGUGAUUAGAGCUAAAAUAGAAAAAUAAAAUCAAAUAACAACUAAGCUGUAAAAAGUAAUAGUUGUAAACAAAAAUAAACAACGAAAGUGAUUUUACAACCUUCGAACUCACGAUAGCUAAGAUCCAAACUGGGAUUAGAUACCCCACUAUGCUUAGCCCUAAACCUGAAUAAUUUCAUAACAAAAUUACUCGCCAGAGAACUACAAGCCAGAGCUUAAAACUCAAAGGACUUGGCGGUGCUUUAUACCCGCCUAGAGGAGCCUGUUCUAUAAUCGAUAAACCCCGAUAAACCUUACCACUCUUUGCCAACUCAGCCUAUAUACCGCCAUCUUCAGCGAACCCUAAAAAGGAAUAAAAGUAAGCUCAACUAUUGCCAUAAAAACGUUAGGUCAAGGUGUAGCCUAUAGAGUGGAAAGCAAUGGGCUACAUUUUCUUCUUCAGAACAUACGAAAGCCCUUAUGAAAUUCUAAGGGCCAAAGGAGGAUUU
rnacentral:rRNA from 1 species